rnacentral:rRNA from 1 species
ACCGUCGACAGUCAGGUAACGAGCGAGACCCCUGCGUCUAGUUGCUACCAUUACUCUCUGGAGCAGUGGAGCGAAUUAGACGGACCGCCACAGUUAAUAUGGAGGAAGGAAGGGGCCACGGCAGGUCAGUAUGCCCCGAAACCUUAGGGCUACACGCGGGCUGCAAUGGUAUUGACAAUGUGUUCCGAAUCCGAAAGGAGGAGGCAAUCAUCAAACAAUAUCUCAGUUAUGACUGAGGGCUGUAACCCGCCCUCACGAAUAUGGAAUCCCUAGUAACCGCGCGUCACUACCGCGCGGUGAAUACGUCCCUGCUCCUUGCACGAAUUCGCCG